UUACGACCAUAUCACGUUGAAACACAGAUUCCCGUACGAUCAACGAAGUUAAGCAACGUCGUGUCGGAUCAGUACCUAGAUAGGUGACCGCUUGGGAAUAUCAGGUGCUGUAAG